UAAUCUAAAGCCUGAAAAAGGACAUAGAUUCCUUUUUACCCAGUUACGGCAAAUAGUUCCCAUAGGACGCAUGUGUAACCACAGGCAACUAAAGUAUAACAUAAUAUUACAUUCCAUAGUCGAUUACACCAUCAGAUCCGCUCACUAAUCUCAAAGGACCAGCUUAGAAAGAUGCAGGGCAUUGGGGGCAAUCAGCAGUAUUGUUUUGCCCAUAUAACUAGGUUGAGGAGGUGAGACGGGCAAUAAGGCAAUCGCUACAUUUAAUACUCUGAAUUCAGUUAAGACUGGAAGCUGACUAUAGUUCUUAAGAGGACAGAAGAUAAGGUAGAAUUUGUUUUCAACUGAUAUAAUAUAUAGUAGAACAUCCAA